rnacentral:rRNA from 1 species
UACGAAGGGGGCUAGCGUUGUUCGGAUUUACUGGGCGUAAAGGGCGCGUAGGCGGCUUAACAAGUCACUUGUGAAAUCUCCGGGCUUAACUCGGAACGGCCAAGUGAAACUGUCAAGCUAGAGUGCAGAAGGGGCAAUCGGAAUUCUUGGUGUAGCGGUGAAAUGCGUAGAUAUCAAGAGGAACACCUGAGGUGAAGACGGGUUGCUGGGCUGACACUGACGCUGAGGCGCGAAAGCCAGGGGAACAAACGGG